rnacentral:rRNA from 1 species
GACGUAGGUGGCGAACGUUAUCCGGAAUUAUUGGGCGUAAAGGAUGCGUAGAUGGUGUAGUAAGUUAUCGGUGGCAAAUCGAGGCUCAACCUCGUGGAAGUCGGUAAUACUGCUAUGCUAGAGGAUAGGAGAGGUUAACGGAACUCCCUGUGGAGCGGUGAAAUGCGUAGAGAUCGGGAAGAACAUCGGUGGUGAAAGCGCUCUACUGGACCGCAACUGACACUCAGGGACGAAAGCUAGGGGAGCGAAUGGG